CAUGAAACUUCUCUGUAACUUAUAAUAUCCUUAUAUUUUACAAGAGGGGGUACUUUAUUCACUAUAUAAUGUACCCUCUACUGUAAAUUAUAAGGAUAUUAUAAUGUAGUGUAAAAGUUCUGAUACCGUGGCAGUUUGUGUUAAUAGGGGGUAAAGUCACCCUGAUCACCACUUGGCAGUAGAAGCAGCAAGUAAAGUCACCUAUACUGUAAAUAGAAAGUGCAACAUGUGCAUUUUAGAAGAAAAGUUGGCUGCCAAGGUCUACAUAACCUUGGUUCUCAUUGCUGUGGGGGUUUGCCGGCAGAAGUACUGGGGAUCUAGUAUAAUGCAAUAUUUUAAAAUGUGUGUGUGAAUUGGCUUCUGUCAAGCAGCACAGAUAGUGACAUUCAUUCUAAAUGAGCUAAAGGCUCCCCCGAUCAAAUGGCCUAAAAGCCCUAAGAUAAAGUUGCUGGAUUUGCAGGUGCAGCAUCCUUAUCACUAGCUGGAGUGUAAAAAAUGGUCUGUUUGACUUUAUCUAUACAGCAGCAUGCUGGGUUUGCAGCUGAACAAAGGGUGUGGGAUAAAUUGAGCAGGACUGACAUCUCUUCAAAGGUUUGAGGUGGGGGGGGGAGAUUGUGGGCAUGGCUGUUUCCAGGAUAUCCUCCCAGAAUACAAUGCCCACAAUUCCCCCAUCCACGUCGGGAUCUAUCGGCUCUUCUGUGCGGACAUCCUGAAUGACGCAGUCUAAAUGGAAGCGGAGGAGGAUAAAAAAAAAAUGCUACUGGGACCAGUUCAAACGGUCUGCAGAAUUCAGGAUUUUUUGCAAGUCGUGAUAAAGACAGCCCUGUUUGCAGCAUUUUAGAGGCACCCCUGGAAGCAAGGUUAGCUACGCUAAAAGGCAUGCAAGAGAAAGUAAUGACAAAGCAAGUUCAUGCCUGGUAGCUCUCUUCCCAAGAUUCUGCAGCAGGUGAGCUCUGAAGCCCGUACUAAUUAAAAGGCAAGGAAGAACUUCCCCCCCACAAACAAA